AUGAACGCUGGCGGCGUGCCUAAUACAUGCAAGUCGAGCGAGCAGACGAGGAGCUUGCUCCUCUGACGUUAGCGGCGGACGGGUGAGUAACACGUGGAUAACCUACCUAUAAGACUGGGAUAACUUCGGGAAACCGGAGCUAAUACCGGAUAAUAUAUUGAACCGCAUGGUUCAAUAGUGAAAGACGGUUUUGCUGUCACUUAUAGAUGGAUCCGCGCCGCAUUAGCUAGUUGGUAAGGUAACGGCUUACCAAGGCAACGAUGCGUAGCCGACCUGAGAGGGUGAUCGGCCACACUGGAACUGAGACACGGUCCAGACUCCUACGGGAGGCAGCAGUAGGGAAUCUUCCGCAAUGGGCGAAAGCUUGACGGAGCAACGCCGCGUGAGUGAUGAAGGUCUUCGGAUCGUAAAACUCUGUUAUUAGGGAAGAACAAAUGUGUAAGUAACUAUGCACGUCUUGACGGUACCUAAUCAGAAAGCCACGGCUAACUACGUG
rnacentral:rRNA from 1 species